GAUGAAGAACGUAGCGAAAUGCGAUAAGUAAUGUGAAUUGCAGAAUUCAGUGAAUCAUCGAAUCUUUGAACGCACAUUGCGCCCGCCAGUAUUCUGGCGGGCAUGCCUGUUCGAGCGUCAUUUCAACCCUCAAGCCCCCGGGCUUGGUGUUGGGGAUCGGCGUGCCCUCGCGGCGCGCCGUCCCCUAAAUCUAGUGGCGGUCUCGCUGUAGCUUCCUCUGCGUAGUAGCAAUACUCGCACUGGAUCGCAGCGCGGCCACGCCGUUAAACCCCCCACUUCUGAAAGUUUGACCUCGGAUCAGGUAGGAAUACCCGCUGAACUUAAGCAUAUCAAUAAGCGGAGGA
rnacentral:misc_RNA from 1 species